AACGAACGUUAGCGGCGCGCUUAACACAUGCAAGUCGUGCGAGAAAGGGCUUCGGCCCCGGUACAGUGGCGCACGGGUGAGUAACACGUGGGUAAUCUUCCCUUGGGCGGGGGAUAACCUUCCGAAAGGAGGGCUAAUACCGCAUAAGACCACGAGCUCGAAAGAGCAUGCGGUCAAAGCAGGCCUCUUCAUGAAAGCUUGCACCUAAGGAUGAGCCCGCGGCCCAUCAGCUAGUUGGUAGGGUAAUGGCCUACCAAGGCGAAGACGGGUAGCUGGUCUGGGAGGAUGAUCAGCCACACUGGAACUGAGACACGGUCCAGACUCCUACGGGAGGCAGCAGUGGGGAAUCUUGCGCAAUGGGCGAAAGCCUGACGCAGCGACGCCGCGUGAGUGAUGAAGGCCCUCGGGUUGUAAAGCUCUGUGGGGAGAGACGAAUAAGGCUUGGCUAAUAUCCAAGUUGAUGACGGUAUCUCCUUAGCAAGCACCGGCUAACUCUGUGCCAGCCGCCGCCGUAACAC
rnacentral:rRNA from 1 species